rnacentral:rRNA from 1 species
GUGCCAGCCGCCGCGGUAAUACAGAGGUCUCGAGCGUUGUUCGGAUUCAUUGGGCGUAAAGGGUGCGUAGGCGGCGAGGUAAGUCGGAUGUGAAAUCCCGGGGCUCAACCCCGGAACUGCAUUCGAUACUGCCCCGCUUGAGGACUGGAGAGGAGACUGGAAUUCACGGUGUAGCAGUGAUAUGCGUAGAUAUCGUGAGGAAGACCGGUGGCGAAGGCGGGUCUCUGGACAGUUCCUGACGCUGAGGCACGAAGGCCAGGGGAGCAAACGGGAUUAGAAACCCCCGUAGUCC